AAGUCGUAACAAGGUCUCCGUAGGUGAACCUGCGGAGGGAUCAUUACCGAGUUCAUGCCCUUACGGGUAGACCUCCCACCCUAUGUUAUAUUACCUUUGUUGCUUUGGCGGGCCGCCCGGCUUCGGCCAGGCUACCGGCUCCAGCUGGUAAGCGCUCGCCAGAGGACCCUCAACUCUGAAUAUCAGUGUCGUCUGAGUACUAUAAAAUAGUUAAAACUUUCAACAACGGAUCUCUUGGUUCUGGCAUCGAUGAAGAACGCAGCGAAAUGCGAUAAGUAAUGUGAAUUGCAGAAUUCAGUGAAUCAUCGAAUCUUUGAACGCACAUUGCGCCCCUUGGUAUUCCGAGGGGCAUGCCUGUUCGAGCGUCAUUACGACCCUCAAGCACUGCUUGGUAUUGGGCUCCGCUGGCUCCAGCGGGCCUUAAAAUCAGUGGCGGCGCCGUUUGGGCUCUGAGCGUAGUAAAUAUCCUCGCUAUAGAGACCAGGCGGUUCUUGUCAUCAACCCCCAACUUUCUAAGUUUGACCUCGGAUCAGGUAGGGAUACCCGCUGAACUUAAGCAUAUCAAUAAGCGGAGG
rnacentral:rRNA from 1 species